rnacentral:misc_RNA from 1 species
GAUGAAGAACGCAGCGAAAUGCGAUAAGUAGUGUGAAUUGCAGAAUUCAGUGAAUCAUCGAAUAUUUGAACGCACAUUGCGCCCCUUGGUAUUCCAUGGGGCAUGCCUGUUCGAGCGUCAUUUGUACCCUCAAGCGUUGCUUGGUGUUGGGCGUCUUGUCGUAUUACGACUCGCCUUAAAUACAUUGGCAGCCGGCACUUUGGCCUAGGAGCGCAGCACAUUUUGCGAUCGUAGCCCGUUGUACUGGCGUCCAUCAAGAACAUUUACCACGUUUGACCUCGGAUCAGGUAGGGAUACCCGCUGAACUUAAGCAUAUCAAUAAGCGGAGGA